rnacentral:rRNA from 1 species
CGCGUAGGCGGUGCGGUAAGUCACCUGUGAAACCUCUAGGCUUAACCUAGAGCCUGCAGGCGAAACUGCCGUGCUGGAGUGUGGGAGAGGUGCGUGGAAUUCCCGGUGUAGCGGUGAAAUGCGUAGAUAUCGGGAGGAGCACCUGUGGCGAAAGCGGCGCACUGGACCACAACUGACGCUGAGGCGCGAAAGCUAGGGGAGCAAACAGGAUUAGAUACCCUGGUAGUCCUAGCCCUAAACGAUGGAUGCUUAGUGUGAUCGGUACCCAAUCCGAUCGUGCCGAAGCUAACGCGAUAAGCAUCCCGCCUGGGGAGUACGGUCGCAAGGCUGAA